rnacentral:rRNA from 1 species
UACGUAGGGACCAAGCGUUGUUCGGAUUUACUGGGCGUAAAGGGCGCGUAGGCGGCGUGUCAAGUCAAUUGUGAAAUCUCCGGGCUUAACUCGGAACGGUCAAUUGAUACUGAUGUGCUAGAGUGCAGAAGGGGCAGUCGGAAUUCUUGGUGUAGCGGUGAAAUGCGUAGAUAUCAAGAGGAACACCUGAGGUGAAGACGGGUUGCUGGACUGACACUGACGCUGAGGCGCGAAAGCUAGGGUAGCAAACGGG